UCUCAAUCCUUAAGUAAGCAGUAGAUUGUGGUUGUCUCAAUCCUUAACAACCACAAUCUACUGCUUACUUAAGGAUUGAGAC
rnacentral:pre_miRNA from 1 species